rnacentral:rRNA from 1 species
AACGAACGCUGGCGGCAGGCUUAACACAUGCAAGUCGAACGCCCCGCAAGGGGAGUGGCAGACGGGUGAGUAACACGUGGGGAUCUGCCCAAUGGUACGGAAUAAUUCCGGGAAACUGGGACUAAUACCGUAUGUGCCCUUCGGGGGAAAGAUUUAUCGCCAUUGGAUGAACCCGCGUCGGAUUAGCUAGUUGGUGAGGUAAAGGCUCACCAAGGCGACGAUCCGUAGCUGGUCUGAGAGGAUGAUCAGCCACACUGGGACUGAGACACGGCCCAGACUCCUACGGGAGGCAGCAGUGGGGAAUAUUGGACAAUGGGCGCAAGCCUGAUCCAGCCAUGCCGCGUGAGUGAUGAAGGCCUUAGGGUUGUAAAGCUCUUUCGCCGACGAAGAUAAUGACGGUAGUCGGAGAAGAAGCCCCGGCUAACUUCGUGCCAGCCGCCGCCGUAAAAC